rnacentral:rRNA from 1 species
CCUACGGGGGGCUGCAGUGGGGAAUAUUGCACAAUGGGGGAAACCCUGAUGCAGCAACGCCGCGUGAGUGAAGAAGUAUUUCGGUAUGUAAAGCUCUAUCAGCAGGGAAGAAGAAAGACGGUACCUGACUAAGAAGCCCCGGCUAACUACGUGCCAGCAGCCGCGGUAAUACGUAGGGGGCAAGCGUUAUCCGGAUUUACUGGGUGUAAAGGGAGCGUAGACGGCUGUGCAAGUCUGAAGUGAAAGCCCGUGGCUCAACCGCGGAACUGCUUUGGAAACUGUAUAGCUAGAGUGCAGGAGAGGUAAGCGGAAUUCCUAGUGUAGCGGUGAAAUGCGUAGAUAUUAGGAGGAACACCAGUGGCGAAGGCGGCUUACUGGACUGUAACUGACGUUGAGGCUCGAAAGCGUGGGGAGCAAACAGGAUUAGAUACCCGAGUAGUC